CGGGAGUCACGCGGAGGCGCGUGCUAGGAAUGAAGUCUUGCGUAUAGUUGGUUCCUGGCGGGGUGCAUGGCGGUAUGCGUCGGACACUGGAAGGAGGACUGGGAGAAGCGUGUAAUGAGGAAGUCUAGGAUUCUCAGGAAAACGUAGAGAAGAAAAUAAUCACCCAGAUCCCAUCACCUAACGUACUUCUGGAGCAGGGCUCGGGCAGCCGGUUCCGGUAUGCGGGUGACCCCAGAGGAUGCACAUUCCCAACAGCCACCUACUUGCCUUCUAUGAUCAAUGAUUUUGAUUUCAUCAUUGUGUGAUCUGGAGCAGAGAAACCAGCCAAGACCACCUGGACUUCUGACCUACAGAACUGUGACCUAACAAGUUUCUGUUUUAACCCUCUAUGUUUGUGAUGAUUUGCUCAGAAGCAAUAGAAGAUGAAUUUAUUAUAUAUCAUGCUUCAAUAUAAUUUAUUUUAAAUUAACAGAUCAAAGUGAUACAUUGAUUAAAAACAAAUGAGUGCAACUUUUGAACUAAUGCCUCUAUGUAUCUCUUCCUUUCCAUUCCGUUGUUAACAUAUUACACAUUUUAUUGUCAUUGUCCAGAAUUUUCACUAAAAUAUGUGGUCAUU